rnacentral:rRNA from 1 species
UACGUAGGGUGCAAGCGUUGUCCGGAAUUAUUGGGCGUAAAGGGCGCGUAGGCGGAUGGCACAGUCAGAUGUGAAAUUCCUGGGCUUAACCUGGGGGCUGCAUUUGAUACGUGUGAUCUAGAGUGAGGAAGAGGGUUGUGGAAUUCCCAGUGUAGAGGUGAAAUUCGUAGAUAUUGGGAAGAACACCGGUGGCGAAGGCGGCGACCUGGUCCUUAACUGACGCUGAGGCGCGAAAGCGUGGGGAGCAAACCGG